GCCUUCGUGGUGUAGAGGUCAGCACGCUCGACGCGUAUUCGAGAGGUCCGUGGUUCGAGUCCCAGCUAGGGCA
rnacentral:tRNA from 1 species